rnacentral:tRNA from 3 species
GGGUCGUUAGCUCAGUUGGUAGAGCGUCUCGUUUACACCGAGAAUGUCGGCGGUUCGAGCCCGUCACGACCCACCA